UAGUAACGGCGAGUGAAGCGGGAUGAGCUCAAGCUUAAAAUCUCCGUGCAAAUUUUGCAUGGCGAAUUGUAGUCUAUAGAGGCGUGAUUAGCAUAGGCACUUGGGGCAAGUUCCUUGGAAGAGGACAGCAUCGAGGGUGAUACUCCCGUUUAUCUCCGAGUUGCUUAUGCGUACAAUCCGUUUUCUUUGAGUCGCGUUGUUUGAGAAUGCAGCGCAAAGUAGGUGGUAAAUUCCAUCUAAAGCUAAAUAUUGGUGCGAGACCGAUAGCAAACAAGUACCGUGAGGGAAAGAUGAAAAGAACUUUGAAAAGAGAGUUAAAGAGUACCUGAAACUGCUGAAAGGGAACCAAAUCGUUUCCAGUGUCUAUAAUCUGUGGUAUAUUUCAUUGGCGAAUGUGUGCGUGCGUGUACUAUGGCAGCGGCUUUUUGCUGCGCCUUGUGUGUGUGUGCACUUUCUCGCUGAUGCCCUGUACCGUGGUGGGACGUCAAUGUCGGUUCGUAAAUUGCGGGAAAUGACUGCCGAGGAGGUAGGGCGAACGCUUGCGUUUGUCUGUUAUAUCUUGGCAGACGUAGUAGUCGCGGUUGGGACUGAGGUGCCUACAAUGUGCUUAUGAGUAGAAUUGAUUCUCCGUGUGCGCCGUGUGCGGAUAGCUUGCUAUGCGUGUGUGGCUGCGUGUGGAU
rnacentral:rRNA from 1 species